rnacentral:piRNA from 1 species
UGGGAAUGAAAGGCCUCCUGGGCAGUUGU